UACGAAGGGGGCUAGCGUUGCUCGGAAUUACUGGGCGUAAAGCGCACGUAGGCGGCUUGUUAAGUCGGGGGUGAAAUCCCGCGGCUCAACUGCGGGUCUGCAGUCGAUACGGGCAGGCUAGAGUUCGGUAGGGGAGACUGGAAUUCCUGGUGUAGCGGUGAAAUGCGCAGAUAUCUGGAGGAACACCGGUGGCGAAGGCGACAUCCUGGACCGGUAUUGACGCUGAGGCGCGAAAGCCAGGGGAGCAAAGCAGG
rnacentral:rRNA from 1 species